CACGUUCAUCUGGUGGUGCUUUCAGGGACCAUGGCAGCUGAGUUCAGCCAGUGAAAGUGAGCGUUGUUGGGCUCUGACCAGUUACAUUUUGUCCCAGUGGUGUAGCCGUAGCUCUGCACAUGCUCACAUCGUGUCUUCACACCCAGAAUCCUCCUCACAUUUACCCACAAUGCAUCUGUGUGGAGUCUCUGAGUCUGAACGUGUUCAGUUUGUCCUGAAGCUGGAGGUCAGCGUCUAUAGUUCAUUUCCUGUUUACUCCUCCCUCCACUUCCUGUUUACUCCUCGGUCGAGAUUCAUCAGACAGGUCAAAGGUCAAAGGUCACCUUUUAAAGGAACAGUCCAACAUUUUAGAAAUCCUCUCGUUCUCAGACUGUCAACGUUAGCCUAGCUUAGCACAAAGACUGGAGCCAGGGGCAAACUGUUAGCCUAGCUUAGCACAAAGACUGGAGCCAGGGGCAAAUUGUUAGCCUAGCUUAGCACAAAGACUGGAGGCAGGGGGAAAGUUAGCCUAGCUUAGCACAAAGACUGGAGGCAGGGGGAAACUGUUAGCCUAGCUUAGCACAAAGACUGGAGGCAGGGGGAAAGUUAGCCUAGCUUGGCAUAAAGACUGGAGCCAGGGGAAAAGUUAG